GAUCAACAGUCCCAUCUCCGUCUGUCCUUAUAAGGAAGGUGUUCCAUCCCUUGGAUCACUUUUGUGGCCCUCUUCUGGAUGAACUCUGAUAGGUCCAUGUCUUUUCUGUACCGAGGACUACACAUGUGGACACAAUACUCCAGUACUGAACAGCAUGAAAAAGGGAAAGAAGGUCCUGGAAGAGAGUAGCAGCAGAGGUGAUUUUUUCCUGAUGUUGUUAAAGGGAGUUGAAGACAUGAAAGGGUGCUAGUAUGAUGAUGCUAUGACGAUUAGGAAAAAAAAAACCAAAACAAAAAAACAACCAACCAACAAACAAACAAACAAAACAUGC
rnacentral:lncRNA from 1 species